rnacentral:rRNA from 1 species
UACGUAGGGUGCAAGCGUUAAUCGGAAUUACUGGGCGUAAAGCGUGCGCAGGCGGUUAUGUAAGACAGGUGUGAAAUCCCCGGGCUUAACCUGGGAACUGCAUUUGUGACUGCAUAGCUAGAGUACGGUAGAGGGGGAUGGAAUUCCGCGUGUAGCAGUGAAAUGCGUAGAUAUGCGGAGGAACACCGAUGGCGAAGGCAAUCCCCUGGACCUGUACUGACGCUCAUGCACGAAAGCGUGGGGGGGCAAACAGG